UACGUAGGGCGCAAGCGUUGUCCGGAAUUAUUGGGCGUAAAGAGCUCGUAGGCGGCUUGUCGCGUCUGUUGUGAAAGCCCGGGGCUUAACCCCGGGUCUGCAGUGGAUACGGGCAGGCUAGAGGCAGGUAGGGGAGAACGGAAUUCCCGGUGUAGCGGUGAAAUGCGCAGAUAUCUGGAGGAACACCGGUGGCGAAGGCGGCAUCCUGGACCGGUAUUGACGCUGAGGCGCGAAAGCUAGGGGAGCAAACGGG
rnacentral:rRNA from 1 species